AAGGUCUUAGCGGUUCUGACGUGCAAAUCGAUCGUCAGAAAUGGGCAUAGGUGCGAACGACUAAUCGGACCAUCUAGUAGCUGGUUCCACUUGAAGUUUCCCUUAGGAUAGCUGCUCCUAAUUAUAAGAGUUUAAUCCGGUAAAGCGAAUGAUUAGACGGAUUAGAGACAUAAUGUUUUUAACUUAUUCUCAAACUUUAAAUGGGUUAGAUGUCUAUGUUGCUAACUUGAACAUAGCACGCAAGAAUCAUUUGAUCAAGUGGGCCAUUUUUGGUAAGCAGAACUGGCGCUGUGGGAUGAACCAAAAGCUAGUUUAAAGUAUCAAAGUAAUAGCAAAUCAGAUUCCACGAAAGGUGUUAAUUGCUCACGACAGCAGGACGGUGGCCAUGGAAGUCGGAAUCCGCUAAGGAAUGUGUAACAACCCACCUGCCGAAGCAAUUAGCCCUGAAAAUGGAUGACGCUAUAGCUAUUCCAGAACUUAAAACUAGCUUCUAGGCUAAAUUAUCUAGCCUAUAAAGUAAAGUGGUGAUUUAACCGCAGCCAAAGAAAGAUGAGAAUCUUUCACAAGCGGUUAAGUGUACAGAUCUUGGUGGCAGUAGCAAAUAUUCCAAUGGGGUCUUGGAAGGCCGAAGUGGAGAAGGUUUUCGUGUGAACAGUUUUUGACCACGAGUGAGGCGGUCCUAAAUAAGAAAGGAAACUUAUUACAAUUUUAUGAAAGGGAAAUAGGUUUAAAUUCCUAUUCCAUAAGCGCUAGAAUUUACUCUGUAAACCUGGUAACAGGGAUUUUCAUUCGGACACAAAGCUAAACUUUAAAGAGAAUUUUCUCUUCUGAUUAAGCUAUGUAAUCCUUUAAAUAGCAUUGAGCUGAGACAAGGAUCAGCAAUAGCGCAGAGCAACACAGAUCUUGCGUUGUUUAAAGCUUUAGCCUUGUCCUUGAAAACGAAUGAAAAAUGGUUAUCUAGCCUAUGGCCGUACCCAUAUCCGCAGCAGGUCUCCAAGGUGAAAAACCUCUGGCUAAUAGAAUAAUGUAGGUAAGGGAAGUCGGCAAAUAAGCUCUGUAACUUUGGGAGAAGGAAUGGCUCUGAAAGUUGAAGUAUUUGGGCUUAAUAAUGGAAGCCGCUAUAGCAAAAGUUUGUUGAAAGCAUUCGCCUGAAAUGAACCAAGCUCUGGCUGUGAAAAUUAUUUAGCUUUAUGGUUGGAUUAUAUCUAGCCAUUCAAAUCACUGCUUAUCAACUCAUUCAGAACUGGCACAGAUUAGGGGAACCCGACUGUUUAAUUAAAACAAAGCAUUGAGAAAGUCUGAAAAGAUAUUGACUCAAUGUGAUUUCUGCCCAGUGCUCAGAAUGUCAAUUUGAAGAGGUUCAAAUAAGCGCGGGUAAACGGCGGGAGUAACUAUGACUCUCUUAAGGUAGCCAAAUGCCUCGUCAGAUAACUACUGACGCGCAUGAAGGGAUUAACGAGGUUCCUACUGUCCCUAUCUACUAUCUAGCGAAACCGCAGUCAAGGGAACGGACUUGAAAAUAACAGCGGGGAAAGAAGACCCUGUUGAGCUUGACUCUAAUCUCGUAUUGUAGAGAAACAUGUUUGGUGUAGUUUAGGGAGGAGCUUCGGCGCCAAUGAAAAACUCCCACAAAUAUCGUUUCUCUUCUAACUAGAUCAAACGCAUAAUUAAUAGCUUUAAUCGGCUAAUUAGUGUUGUAACAACUGUGCUGUUCAUUGAAACAGUGCAGAAAGCAACCAAGGAAAUUGCGAGAUUGGGAGUUUGACUGGGGCGGUACAUCUGUCAAAUAAUAACGCAGGUGUCCUAAGAUCAGCUCCGUGAGGACAGAAACCUCACUUAGAGUAAAAAGGCAAAAGCUGGUUUGAAAUUGCUUUUCAGUACAAAGCAAUAGGCAGAAAUGUAGGCUUAUCGAUCCUCUUUAAUUUAGGGUUUAAAGAAAGAGGUGACAGAAAAGUUACCACAGGGAUAACUGGCUUGUGGCUGCCAAGCGUUCAUAGCGACGUAGCUUUUUGAUCCUUCGAUGUCGGCUCUUCCUAUCAUUCUGAAGCAAAAUUCAGAUAGUGUCGGAUUGUUCACCCGCUAAUAGGGAACGUGAGCUGGGUUUAGACCGUCGUGAGACAGGUUAGUUUUACCCUACUGAUGA
rnacentral:rRNA from 1 species